GUCUGUGGCCAUACCACCCUGAAUACACCCCAUCUUGUCUGAUCUCAGAAGCUAAGGAGAGUUGGGUAUGGUUAGAAUUUGAAUGGGAAAAUUCCAAGACAGUUCAGAUGCACAGAUC
rnacentral:rRNA from 1 species